rnacentral:lncRNA from 1 species
AAAAAAACUAAUUAAAACUUUAGUAAUAUUUCUUUUAUUUUAGAGUAGCUUUUUGUUUUCUUUUAAAAAAAAUUAUGUUUCCUUUUAUUUUAUUUUGUACUUUUUACGCUCUUUCUCUUCUUUCUUUGGCAAAGAAACAACACUGGCGGCGGCGGGGAACAACACCGGUGACGACAACAUUUCGAUCCAUCAUACAAGCUUUGCUCCUCCACCUCCAGGAGCCCGCUUCAUCGACCUUCUAUCACUAAGCCUCUCACCUUCAAAUUCACACUCCUCAUAUAGGAGCUCCACUAAAAACCCACAAGAAAUAACCUUUGUUACUCCACCAUAUGAGUACAUAUCCAUCAACCGCCAGUUCCGCUGAGAACCACCACGUGAACCACCAUCACCACUUUCUCUAUUUUUCUCCAUAGC